AACUUAGUGGCGGACGGGUGAGUAACGCGUGAGUAACCUGCCUUUCAGAGGGGGAUAACAUCCUGAAAAGGACGCUAAUACCGCAUGAUAUAUUUGUGCCGCAUGGUAUGGAUAUCAAAGGAGCAAUCCGCUGGAAGAUGGACUCGCGUCCGAUUAGCUAGUUGGAGGGGUAACGGCCCACCAAGGCGACGAUCGGUAGCCGGACUGAGAGGUUGAACGGCCACAUUGGGACUGAGACACGGCCCAGACUCCUACGGGAGGCAGCAGUGGGGGAUAUUGCGCAAUGGGGGAAACCCUGACGCAGCAACGCCGCGUGAAGGAAGAAGGUUUUCGGAUUGUAACCUUCUUUUCUAAGGGACGAAGAAGUGACGGUACCUUAGGAAUAAGCUCCGGCUAACUACGUGCCAGCAGCCGCGGUAAUACGUAGGGAGCAAGCGUUGUCCGGAUUUACUGGGUGUAAAGGGUGCGUAGGCGGCAAUGCAAGUCAGAUGUGAAAUGCACGGGCUCAACCCGUGAGCUGCAUUUGAAACUGUGUUGCUUGAGUGAGGUAGAGGCAGGCGGAAUUCCCGGUGUAGCGGUGAAAUGCGUAGAGAUCGGGAGGA
rnacentral:rRNA from 1 species